AUUCUCUUUGGCAGCAUGUAUACUAAAAUUUUAAUGAUACAGAGAAGAUUAACAUGGCACCUGCACAAGUUGGCUUGGGGGUGGUGGGAAGGGUCCCCAGUACAG
rfam:Gavia stellata contig35288, whole genome shotgun sequence.